CUAUGGUUAAGGAACUCGGCAAAAUGCCCCCGUAACUUCGGGAGAAGGGGGGCCGGAAUACCGUGAACACCCUUGCGGUGGGAGCGGGAUUCGGCCGCAGAAACCAGUGGGUAGCGACUGUUUACUAAAAACACAGGUCCGUGCGAAGUCGCAAGACGAUGUAUACGGACUGACGCCUGCCCGGUGCUGGAAGGUUAAGAGGACCCGUUAACCCGUAAGGGUGAAGCGGAGAAUUUAAGCCCCAGUAAACGGCGGUGGUAACUAUAACCAUCCUAAGGUAGCGAAAUUCCUUGUCGGGUAAGUUCCGACCUGCACGAAUGGCGUAACGACUUCCCAACUGUCUCAACCAUAGACUCGGCGAAAUUGCACUACGAGUAAAGAUGCUCGUUACGCGCGGCAGGACGAAAAGACCCCGGGACCUUCACUACAACUUGGUAUUGGUGUUCGGUACGGUUUGUGUAGGAUAGGUGGGAGACUUUGAAGCACAGACGCCAGUUUGUGUGGAGUCGUUGUUGAAAUACCACUCUGAUCGUAUUGGACACCUAACGUCGAACCCUUAUCGGGUUCACGGACAGUGCCUGGCGGGUAGUUUAACUGGGGCGGUUGCCUCCUAAAAUGUAACGGAGGCGCCCAAAGGUUCCCUCAACCUGGACGGCAAUCAGGUGGCGAGUGUAAGUGCACAAGGGAGCUUGACUGCGAGACUUGCAAGUCAAGCAGGGACGAAAGUCGGGACUAGUGAUCCGGCACCCCCGAGUGGAAGGGGUGUCGCUCAACGGAUAAAAGGUACCCCGGGGAUAACAGGCUGAUCUUCCCCAAGAGUCCAUAUCGACGGGAUGGUUUGGCACCUCGAUGUCGGCUCGUCGCAUCCUGGGGCUGGAGCAGGUCCCAAGGGUUGGGCUGUUCGCCCAUUAAAGCGGCACGCGAGCUGGGUUUAAAACGUCGUGAGACAGUUCGGUCUCUAUCCGCCGCGCGCGUCAGAAACUUGAGGAAACCUGUCCCUAGUAC
rnacentral:rRNA from 1 species